GCCAUCACUCCCUGCCGGUGUAUUAAAGUUUUUUCUCUUCCCAAAAUUCUCUAUUCGAUGCGGUUUUGGUGCUUGAACUUUGAAAUCAGGAAUCUCUCUCCCUAUCUCGAUCUCCAUCUCGAUCUCCAUCUCCUUCUCCAAAACCAGAAGUGCAUCGCAAGAUGAAAAUGGAUAGUCCGUGGGUUCUAGAUUCCGCUUCUCUUCUGGCCGUCGUUCUCAUCGCGGCCCACGUCUUCGCCCUUAUUUACGGGAUUUACAGGUUAGCCAUCCAGAGGGUAUCGGACGAGCAGCGCCUAAAGAAAACGCAUUAGAAAACCAUGGAGGAGAAAAGCGAGAGAUGGGCGAAUCUGAAACGGAUCCAAACACGAGCUUUCCGAAUCCCCAUUUACAGAAAGCAAAGGUUUGAGUAGUUUUCCAGUUUCAGAGAUUUGGAUUUCUAGCGUUUGGCUUUUGAGUGAACAUCGUCUGUAAUUAUACUAUUUCCAUUGUUUCUUUCUGUCGUUUGGAUCGGUAUUCAGUAAUAGCAUAUAACGCCUGUUUUAACCAA